rnacentral:rRNA from 1 species
AUGAUACCUGGGCCCCUGGGGGGGGGGAGAUGGUGGAUUGUUAGUGUAGAUGAUUUAGAAGAUAUAAUUGGUGGGUAUGUAUGGUUGGGUUUUAUUUGUGUAUUUGGCGGAAUUUGGCAUAUUUUAACCAAACCCUUCGCAUGGGCUCGCCGUGCAUUUGUAUGGUCUGGAGAAGCUUACUUGUCUUAUAGUUUAGCUGCUUUAUCUGUCUUUGGUUUUAUCGCUUGUUGUUUUGUAUGGUUCAAUAAUACAGCUUAUCCGAGUGAGUUUUAUGGACCCACCGGGCCAGAAGCUUCUCAAGCUCAAGCAUUUACUUUUCUAGUUAGAGACCAGCGUCUUGGAGCUAAUGUGGGAUCCGCUCAAGGACCCACAGGUUUAGGUAAAUAUCUAAUGCGUUCCCCAACUGGGGAGGUUAUCUUUGGAGGGGAAACUAUGCGUUUUUGGGACCUUCGUGCUCCAUGGUUCGAACCUCUAAGGGGCCCCAACGGUUUGGACUUGAGUAGGUUGAAAAAAGACAUACAACCUUGGCAAGAACGACGCUCAGCAGAAUAUAUGACCCACGCUCCUUUAGGCUCUUUAAAUUCCGUGGGUGGCGUAGCUACCGAGAUCAAUGCAGUUAAUUAUGUCUCUCCUAGAAGUUGGUUAUCAACUUCUCAUUUUGUUCUAGGAUUCUUCUUUUUUGUGGGCCAUUUAUGGCAUGCAGGAAGAGCCCGAGCUGCUGCAGCAGGUUUUGAAAAGGGAAUCGAUCGUGAUUUGGAACCUGUUCUUUACAUGAACCCUCUUAACUAA